UAUACAUUAGUGUAUGUCGCACAUAAAAAUUUGAGUUUUAAAGAUUAGUUAAAUUCUAAAUUGUAUAA
rnacentral:tRNA from 1 species